rnacentral:rRNA from 1 species
GAUGAACGCUGGCGGCGUGCCUAAUACAUGCAAGUCGAGCGAAGCGGGGACGAGUGAUUAACACGUGGAUACCCUCCUCUACGACUGGGAUACCUUCGGGGAACCGGAGCUAACACGGUUACUUAUAGAUGGAUCCUCGCUGCAUUCGCUAGUUGGUAAGGUAACGGCUUACCAAGGCAACGAUGCAUAGCCGACCUGAGAGGUUGAUCGGCCACACUGGAACUGAGACACGGUCCAGACUCCUACGGGAGGCAGCAGUAGGGAAUAUUCCGCAAUGGGCGAAAGCCUGACGGAGCAACGCCGCGUGAGUGAUGAAGGUCUUCGGAUCGUAAAACUCUGUUAUUAGGGAAGCGGUACCUAAUCAGAAAGCCACGGCUAACUACGUGCCAGCAGCCGCGGUAAUUC